rnacentral:sRNA from 1 species
GUAGUUUCCGCACCGCUGACGCAUGCCUGCGCGCACAGCUGGGCCGGGCGCGUCCUACGCAGCAGCCGCGAGCCGGGCUGCGGGUGCCAGACGGUUCCCGGCGGGGGGCAGGGGCGGGGCGCCGCAGGAGGCCGGGACUCCUGGCGGAGGAGCCCCAAGGAGGCCCGCCUGACGACUGACCAGUUGCCAUGGCAUCCUACUACGAGAUCCUAGACGUGCCGCGAAGUGCGUCCGCUGAUGACAUCAAGAAGGCGUAUCGGCGCAAGGCUCUCCAGUGGCACCCAGACAAAAACCCAGAUAAUAAAGAGUUUGCUGAGAAGAAAUUUAAGGAGGUGGCCGAGGCAUAUGAAGUGCUGUCUGACAGUAAGGGCCGGGGUCAGGCAGGACCCAGCACAUCACCCCCUACUUCAUGCCCCAGCUCACAUUUUCUUAAAGCAAUGUCUCUGCCACCUAGUUUCCUCUGUGCCUUUUUCCAGCCUGACAUUUAAGCUCCCCCCUCCCACAGGGACAGCUCAGUGUCUGCUCCCCAGAGUCUGGUAGGAGUGGCUGGCAUGAGACCUGAAAGGGGAAGGAAGCAGGGCAGGUAACUCAUGUGAGCUGAGCCUCCUGCGUGCCAGGCAUUGGUGGGUGUCAUCUCCAUGAGUUCUCACAGCCGUCCUAUGAGGCAGGUUCUAUCACCCCUAUUUUACAGGCAAGGAAACUGAGGCUGAGAGAGGUGAAGUAACUUGCUCAAGGCCACGCAGAGCUGGAAUAUGAAUCCAGGUCUGCCUUUUUAUUGAUUCAUUCGAAAAGUAAUUCAGUGAAUGGUGACAGUGUCCGGCACUCGCUGGGUGCUGGGGAAACUGGAGGACAAGCAGGCACUGUCUUUGCCCAGAGGGGCAGGGAAGACCAACACCUACCAGGCACACACACAGACACAGUUACAGCUUGUGAAGAGUAUUCCGAGGGAAGAAACAGGGCAGGUGGAGUGCUAGGGAAUAAUGUGCACUUGCUUUAGUUCUGGUGGUUGUAGAAGGCCUCUCCGAGAAGGUGACAUUUAGGCUAAGCCCUGGUGAAUAAUAAUGUAGUAAUCAUUAGCUAACAUUUUUUGAACACUUUCUAUGUGUCAGGCACUGGUAGGCAGUUUACGUGGAUGGUCUCAUUUUAUCUUUGCAACAACCCUGUGCGGUAGGUGUUGUGAUGACAGCCAUUUUCCAGAUGAGAAGAGGCCAGCUGUGUGAAAGGCUGUGUUGCUGCCUAAACCUAUAGCCCGUGUCCCCUGGGUCCCCUGCUGUGCCUGCUUUCCCCCGCCAAGUGUCAGAGUGUCAGUCUCUGGACAAUCCUUUGAGUGUCCUAGCCUGGGAGGGGAGCCCAUCCCAGAGGGAGGGUGAAAUGAUCUGGUCUCUUUUUGCAGAGCACAAGCGGGAGAUUUACGACCGCUAUGGCCGGGAAGGGCUGACAGGGACAGGAACUGGCCCAUCUCGGGCAGAAGCUGGCAGUGGUGGGCCUGGCUUCACCUUCACCUUCCGCAGCCCCGAGGAGGUCUUCCGGGAAUUCUUUGGGAGUGGAGACCCUUUUGCAGAGCUCUUUGAUGACCUGGGCCCCUUCUCAGAGCUUCAGAACCGGGGUUCCCGACACUCAGGCCCCUUCUUUACCUUCUCUUCCUCCUUCCCUGGGCACUCCGGUAAGUUCUGCCCCUUCCCACGUUUGCAAGCUCCGAUUCCUGGAACCCCUGGCUUGAGCUUGUUGCUUUUCCAAGCCUGUCUCCUGUGUUGGGAGCCCUGCCUCCAGCAGCCCUGCGAGGAGGCCUGGAGCCUCGGUGACCACAACAGGCAGCGCAGUCUUCUUCUAACCACCUCUCCUCCUCCUCCCUUGUCCCGAUGCCAGAUUUCUCCUCCUCAUCUUUCUCCUUCAGUCCUGGGGCUGGUGCUUUUCGCUCUGUUUCUACAUCUACCACCUUUGUCCAAGGACGCCGCAUCACCACACGCAGGUGAGAGCUCUUUCUGGGGCCAUAGAGGGCUGAGAGGUCUGCUGGGGAGCUGUGUUCAAAUAGAAAGUUGGCUCCUUGAGGGCAGGGCCCAGUCUGCACUCUCUACUGCGGUGGCCAGAACUGGGACCAGUGCCUGCAGGAUUCUGUCACUGCUCGUUGCCUGAACUGUGCUGUCUCCCACAGAAUCAUGGAGAAUGGGCAGGAGCGGGUGGAAGUGGAGGAGGAUGGGCAGCUGAAGUCAGUCACAAUCAAUGGUGUCCCAGAUGACCUGGCACUGGGCUUGGAGCUGAGCCGUCGCGAGCAGCAGCCGUCAGUCACUUCCAGGUCUGGGGGCACUCAGGUCCAGCAGACCCCUGCCUCAUGCCCCUUGGACAGCGACCUCUCUGAGGAUGAGGACCUGCAGCUGGCCAUGGCCUACAGCCUGUCAGAGAUGGAGGCAGCUGGGAAGAAACCCGCAGGUGGGCGGGAGGCACAGCACCGACGGCAGGGGCGGCCCAAGGCCCAGCACCAAGAUCCAGGCUUGGGGGGGACCCAGGAGGGUGCGAGGGGUGAAGCAACCAAACGCAGCCCAUCCCCAGAGGAGAAGGCCUCUCGCUGCCUCAUCCUCUGAACACCGGGCCCAACCUGAUCUGAUCCAGAUCUUGACUGGGGGUCUGACUCACUGUGGGAAGAGAAGAGGGGAGUAUCCUGAGUUGUAGGAACUGCUUUCCAACUCCAUGCUCCCUCCACAAGUUUCCCUCCCAGGCCCCCCGCACCCCAGUGUGGACUUGGGAUUUGCUGUGCUCAGCCCAGGGCUGAUAGGUCCCUGGUGAAGCCCAGGGUGGGGGGUGUCAGGGCAGUGGAGGGGCCCGAGGAGCCAGGUUGCAUUUAUUGGAUGGGGAGCUCCAAGGGGCAUUAGUGGUUUGGGCUGGGCCUUUUGUGCCCAGGUACUCUGCCACCUGUGUUGCUGAUGGUGUCAAGGAAGGAGGACUUGGCCUAGGGUUGUCUGAGCCGGAGCCAGCAGCUCCACUGGAGAGCAGUGCAGGCAGAGUGGAGCCUCCUGCUCUCCUGGACCAGCUGCAGACCCCCAACCCUGGUUUCUGUGCCAUGUUGCGCUCUGACCGUCUCUGUUGCUUCUCUUCUGGUGUUGCUUCUCCUCCCUCCCAUUCUCUCUGCAACUCCCUGCGGGCCGCAUCGCUUGCUUUCACUGCCGUCUGGCUAGGACUCCCUUCUUCCUUCCUUCCCCGAGAAGGCCUCAAUGUGGCGAGGAAGAUGCUGGGGCCGGUAGGGCUGUGAGAUCAUCUGGGGAGGCUAGCCGGGUGGGGCGGGAGCCUCUCAGCUGUCCAGAUUCAGAACUGGAGCCCACUCCUCCUCCCUCUCGUUGCCUCAGCCUGCCCUCACCCUCAGGACUAGGCAGAGGUGAGGCUGGCUCACCCUGAAGAGGUGGGAUAGGACCGGGGGACCCCAGAGGGAGGCCUAGGAGGGGACUGCACCCAUACUGCUUCCCUACCACAAAUCAGGGCUCAGGGAGAGGCCAUGCGGCCAGCCCAGGUCUGCAUGCUGAGCCCCAUCCUCCACAGCUUGCUGCUGACGCUCUCUCCUGUCACCCCGCCCCUGCUCUCUCCCCAGAUGUGUUCUGAGCUGGAUGCCGGGAUCCAGAAUCGCUGCACAGUUCCAACAGGACAGCGCCUUCCCCCAUGCGCUGGGAGGGGACCCUCCAUUUCUCCCCCUCACCCAUGCUGAGUGUAGAGCCGGGGCCUGGGUGGUGGGCAGGGGCUGGGUGGGAGGUGGCAGUAGUCUUAGCCUGUGCACUCUCUUCCUUGGGUGUUUGGUGCUGGCUCCUGGGGACUACAAAUCCCAGAGUGCGGUGUGCCCGGCCUCAUUUCUGAUAGAUCCCGCUUGGGGGAGGUGGUGUGUGGUUACGGAGCUGUGCAUCUUGGGACAUGUAGUAGCCCAGGUCGGCUUGUCACUCGCUGUGAGAUGGGGAGAUUUUGUCUUUUGAUUUAUCCCUGUAGGGCUGGCAGGGUUGUAGAUGAAGGGGGAAUGAUCUGAGCCUUGGUUCCCCUGACACAUCUUGCUAGCCCCAGGGUUAGAGUGGGCAGGGCAGAGCCGCGCAGCACCUGGGAGCGGUACCUUUCCCUUGGGCAGCCUGGGGUCCCAGGAACAAGCCAGGGCGAGUAGCAUGUCUGCCUGAGCAGGGUGUGGCUCCAGAAGGCUGAGGAGUGUGGGCUGGCAGAGAGCUUCGAGGGCAAGGCCACCCGCGGGGGCGUGUGUGUGGUGGGGCUUGGCAUGUGAUGGCAGCUCCAGGCAUGCCGCUGCUUGUAUGGCUUUCUUUGGCCUCUGACCCUGCUGCCCAUUCUUUCCAACAUCACAGAUGAACUGCCUCUCCUCCUCCCUGCCUGGGGAGCCCAGUGGCCAGGGAGGGGAGUGGUGGAGCCAGUCGCUGUAACACUGAGCUUCAGAGACGAACCAAAACCAGCUGGGCUGAGCUCAGAUCCAGGGGGAAAUGCUGGAAGUCAAUAAAACUGAGUUUUGAGA